rnacentral:misc_RNA from 1 species
GAAAUGCGAUAAGUAAUGUGAAUUGCAGAAUUCAGUGAAUCAUCGAAUCUUUGAACGCACAUUGCGCCCGCCAGUAUUCUGGCGGGCAUGCCUGUCCGAGCGUCAUUUCAACCAUCAAGCCCCCGGGCUUGUGUUGGGGACCUGCGGCUGCCCGCAGGCCCUGAAAACCAGUGGUGGGCUCGCUGUCACACCGAGCGUAGUAGCAAUCACCUCGCUCAGGGCGUGCUGCGGGUUCCGGCCGUUAAACAGCCUUACAAAACCCAAGGUUGACCUCGGAUCAGGUAUGAAGAACCGCUGAACUUGAGC